AAAGUACUCCCUUCGUCCGGAAUUACUUGUCGCAAGAAUGGACGUAUCUAAAUAUAUUUUAGUUUUAAAUACAUUCAUUUCUAUCAUUUUCGCGACAAGUAAUUUCGGCCGGAGGGAGUACCCU
rfam:Triticum aestivum genome assembly, contig: Triticum_aestivum_CS42_TGACv1_scaffold_210487_3AS